rnacentral:rRNA from 1 species
UACGGAGGGGGCUAGCGUUGUUCGGAAUUACUGGGCGUAAAGCGCACGUAGGCGGCUUUGUAAGUUAGAGGUGAAAGCCCGGGGCUCAACUCCGGAAUUGCCUUUAAGACUGCAUCGCUAGAAUUGUGGAGAGGUAAGUGGAAUUCCGAGUGUAGAGGUGAAAUUCGUAGAUAUUCGGAAGAACACCAGUGGCGAAGGCGGCUCACUGGACCGGUAUUGACGCUGAGGUGCGAAAGCGUGGGGAGCAAACAGGAUUAGAUACC